UGCUGAUAAGGCCUGUUGGUAAAAAAAAAUCACAUUUUUAUUUUCCCACAGAAGAAGAAAUAGUGGUAUUUACCACCUGUGAAUUUUGUUGCACUUUACCAGUUUAUUUUAUGAGGCUCCUUUACAUCACUCCCAUAUUUCCCCAUAGGAUUCUGGGCUUAAUCAAACCAUUCCUUAAAGCCCAAGUAUUGGUCUGACUUUUAUUGUCACUGAAGCAUUCUCAGGGUUAAUAUUUGGUGACAGAAGCAGAAGAUGCCCCUAGCACUGCUCUCACUAUGCAGAAAUAGAACCAUGACAGAAUUUUUUUUCUCUUUUGUUACUUCUCAGGAGUAAUGAGACCUCUCCCAAUGACUCAGUGAUACUCUCCUCACCAGGUAUUUCAACAGGACCUGCCCUUACCAAAGAAGAGUUUUGCUGACAGCUUCCCAGCACUGCAGAGAUCCCUGACUUUCUGAGCCAUCUUGCCACUGCAAUUAAUGCCAGCUGAGGAUUAAAUAAGGAAGUUGAUGUGCACCCACCCUCCUGAGUGGCUCCUCUUGAUCUUGUAGCAUGAAAUAACAUUGAAAAAUCUGCUUUUUUCACCUUGCCUGCAUGUCCAGAGGUGGAGUUUGUCAUCCAAAGUCUGAAACAGAGGCGCAGCAGAGUACAGCAGUGCUCAGUGUACUUCCUGCAGCCAGAGAUGUCCACAAGCUCCAGGGAGCAGGGAUAAUACCAGAGCACACCUUGUCCAGGAAGCAGAAAUGCCCCCGUGGGAGCAAGAGGAACAGCCUGCUGCCUCUGGAAAGAUUCCACAGGGAGAUGUUGUGCUUCUGUUUUGGAGAUUCAUUUGUGAAAGAAAACCACCAGGAGUGUAAACCUGAAGCCAAAGGCAUCUUGAAAGGAGCCACAUUCAGUGACUGA
rnacentral:lncRNA from 1 species